GGCGUAAGCCAGGUCGGUUUCUAUCUUUAAUAAAAGAAAAUAUUUUAGUACGAAAGGACCAAAUAUUUAAUAUAUUUAUAUUUUAUUUAUUGAAUUUUAUUAAUUUG
rnacentral:rRNA from 4 species